CCCUUAGAUGUUCUGGGCUGCACGCGCGCUACACUGACACACUCAGCGAGUUCCUGUACCGAGAGGUUCGGGUAAUCAUGCGAGCGUGUGUCGUGAUGGGGAUAGAAUAUUGUAAUUAUUGCUCUUCAACGAGGAAUUCCUAGUAAGCGCAAGUCAGCAGCUUGCGCUGAUUACGUCCCUGCCCUUUGUACACACCGCCCGUCGCUCCUACCGAUUGGGUGAUCCGGUGAAUGACUCGGACUUUGACGUUCCUAGACACUAGGUUCGUCGAGGGAAGUUUUGUGAACCUUAUCACUUGGAGGAAGGAGAAGUCGUAACA
rnacentral:rRNA from 1 species